GUAAGGAAUAUUGGUCAAUGGACGAAAGUCUGAACCAGCCAUGCCGCGUGAAGGAUGAAGGCCCUCUGGGUUGUAAACUUCUUUUAUCUGGGACGAAAAAAGGGUAUUCUUACUCACUUGACGGUACCAGAGGAAUAAGCACCGGCUAACUCCGUGCCAGCAGCCGCGGUAAUACGGAGGGUGCAAGCGUUAUCCGGAUUCACUGGGUUUAAAGGGUGCGUAGGUGGGUAUUUAAGUCAGUGGUGAAAUCUCCGAGCUUAACUCGGAAACUGCCAUUGAUACUAUUUACCUUGAAUGUCCUGGAGGUAAGCGGAAUAUGUCAUGUAGCGGUGAAAUGCUUAGAUAUGACAUAGAACACCAAUUGCGAAGGCAGCUUACUACGGGGUGAUUGACACUGAGGCACGAAAGCGUGGGGAGCAAACAGGAUUAGAUACCCCUGUAGUCC
rnacentral:rRNA from 1 species